AUUGAACGCUGGCGGCAUGCUUUACACAUGCAAGUCGAACGGUAACAGGGUGCUUGCACCGCUGACGAGUGGCGAACGGGUGAGUAAUGCGUCGGAACGUGCCGAGUAGUGGGGGAUAACGCAGCGAAAGUUGUGCUAAUACCGCAUACGUACUGAGGUAGAAAGUGGGGGACCUUCGGGCCUCACGCUAUUCGAGCGGCCGACGUCUGAUUAGCUAGUAGGUGAGGUAAAGGCUCACCUAGGCGACGAUCAGUAGCGGGUCUGAGAGGAUGAUCCGCCACACUGGGACUGAGACACGGCCCAGACUCCUACGGGAGGCAGCAGUGGGGAAUUUUGGACAAUGGGCGAAAGCCUGAUCCAGCCAUGCCGCGUGUCUGAAGAAGGCCUUCGGGUUGUAAAGGACUUUUGUCGGGGAGGAAAUCCCCAGCGUUAAUACCGCUGGGGGAUGACAGUACCUGAAGAAUAAGCACCGGCUAACUACGUGCCAGCCGCCGCAGUAAGAC
rnacentral:rRNA from 1 species